ACUCAAAGGAAUUGACGGGGACCCGCACAAGCGGUGGAGCGUGUGGUUUAAUUCGACGAUAAGCGGAGAACCUUACCAGGGUUUGACAUCCCGGGAAUCCCCCAGAAACGGGGGAGUGCCGCAAGGAGCCCGGUGACAGGUGCUGCAUGGUCGUCGUCAGCUCGUGUCGUGAGAUGUUGGGUUAAGUCCCGCAACGAGCGCAACCCUCGUCGUAUGUUGUAAUUUUCAUACGAUACUGCCUCGGUUAACGAGGAGGAAGGUGGGGUCGAAGUCAGAUCAGCAUGGCCCUUAUACCCUGGGCGACACACGCGCUACAAUGGCCGGUACAAUGGGUCGCGAAAUCGCGAGAUGGAGCUAAUCCCAUCAAAACCGGUCUCAGUUCGGAUUGGAGGCUGCAACUCGCCUCCAUGAAGCCGGAAUCGCUAGUAAACGCAGAUCAGCCACGCUGCGUUGAAUACGUUCUCGGGUCUUGUACACACCGCCCGU
rnacentral:rRNA from 1 species